rnacentral:rRNA from 1 species
UACAGAGGUCUCAAGCGUUGCUCGGAUUCAUUGGGCGUAAAGGGUGCGUAGGCGGCGCGGUAAGUCGGGUGUGAAAUCUCGGGGCUUAACUCCGAAACUGCAUUCGAUACUGCCGUGCUUGAGGACUGGAGAGGAGACUGGAAUUUACGGUGUAGCGGUGAAAUGCGUAGAUAUCGUAAGGAAGACCAGUGGCGAAGGCGGGUCUCUGGGCCACUACUGACGCUGAGAAGCGAAAGCAUGGGGGAGCGAACAGG